rnacentral:siRNA from 1 species
UGAAGUUGUUGUACCCUUUGUA